GUGAAGUUAUUGCUGUGCUCUGAUUUAAAUGACUGAAGGCUUGUUUGUCUGUGAGGGACUCAGUAUUCACAGCAGCCCAGAUAUGGUGUGACUGGAUUCCAUGAAAACUGCGGUGUACCUUUUUCAAAAUUCUUCUCCGUGUUUACACAGAACAUAGGGUUGUCAUACAGGCUACUUUUACUGCCCCCUCGGCUGUUCAGCCAUGGUAGAUUGAAGAUCAACUUCUCUUCAGUAUUACAGUCCGUAGUGCUGCAACAUUCUUCACUGAAGACACACUCACAGCAAAACUUGGGCCAGUUUCUUAACGCUGCAUCUUCUAUGUCUCACCUCAGUCCUUCUUCUGAGAUCCCAACCUCCUGCUUUCCCCCAGUGUAUACUGAAGAAUGGGAUGUGUUUUAAUUAUUCCCUCAUUCAUCAAUACAUCUCCUUCGCUUCACUUGCCCUAUUGCCAGAGACAACAGCAGAGCGUGGCAGCUA
rnacentral:lncRNA from 1 species